rnacentral:rRNA from 1 species
CCCUUAGAUGUUCUGGGCCGCACGCGCGCUACACUGACGGAUUCAACGAGCUUACAACCUUGGCCGAAAGGUCUGGGUAAUCUCCAAAAUCCGUCGUGAUGGGGAUAGAUUAUUGCAAUUAUUAAUAUUCAACGAGGAAUGCCUAGUAAGCGCAAGUCAUCAGCUUGCGUUGAUUACGUCCCUGCCCUUUGUACACACCGCCCGUCGCUCCUACCGAUUGAAUGGUCCGGUGAAGCGUUUGGACUAUGGUUUUCUGAUGGUCCGCCGUUGGAUUACCGUGGGAAGUUCGUUAAACCUUAUCAUUUAGAGGAAGGAGAAGUCGUAACA